rnacentral:misc_RNA from 1 species
GAGAAUAUCGCCCUCGCGGGUGACUCUCCAACCCUAUGUUAUUGUACCUUUGUUGCUUUGGCGAGCCGCUUCGGCCACCGGCUCGCGCUGGUGAGUGCUCGCCAGAGGACCCCAAACUCUGAAUUAUUAGUGUCGUCUGAGUACUAUAUAAUAGUUAAAACUUUCAACAACGGAUCUCUUGGUUCU